rnacentral:misc_RNA from 1 species
GAUGAAGAACGUAGCGAAAUGCGAUAAGUAAUGUGAAUUGCAGAAUUCAGUGAAUCAUCGAAUCUUUGAACGCACAUUGCGCCCGCCAGCAUUCUGGCGGGCAUGCCUGCCCGAGCGUCAUUUCGACCCUCAAGCCCCCGGCGGCUUGGUGUUGGGUGCCGGCCCCCGCGCCGCCCCCGAAAUGCAGUGGCGACCACGCCGCGGCCUCCCCUGCGCAGUAGCACAACCACGCACCGGAGCGCGGACGCGGUCACGCCGUAAAACUCCCCCCCUUCAAGAGUUGACCUCGGAUCAGGUAGGGAUACCCGCUGAACUUAAGCAUAUCAAUAAGCGGAGGA